UACGUAGGGGGCAAGCGUUAUCCGGAUUUACUGGGUGUAAAGGGAGCGCAGGCGGUAUGGCAAGUCAGAUGUGAAAACCCAGGGCUCAACCCUGGGACUGCAUUUGAAACUGCCAUACUGGAGUGCCGGAGAGGUAAGUGGAAUUCCUAGUGUAGCGGUGAAAUGCGUAGAUAUCACGCAGAACCCCGAUUGCGAAGGCAGCAUACCGGUGCACAACUGACGCUCAGGCACGAAAGCGUGGGUAUCGAACAGG
rnacentral:rRNA from 1 species